rnacentral:tRNA from 1 species
CCGGUAGCUUAGUUGGUAAAGCGCUCGUCUAGCAUACAAGAGUCCUGGGUUCGAAUCCCAGCCGG